AUUGAACGCUGGCGGCAGGCUUAACACAUGCAAGUCGAGCGGGGUGAUGGUGCUUGCACUAUCACUUAGCGGCGGACGGGUGAGUAAUGCUUAGGAAUCUGCCUAUUAGUGGGGGACAACAUCUCGCAAGGGAUGCUAAUACCGCAUACGUCCUACGGGAGAAAGCAGGGGAUCACUUGUGACCUUGCGCUAAUAGAUGAGCCUAAGUCGGAUUAGCUGGUUGGUGGGGUAAAGGCCUACCAAGGCGACGAUCUGUAGCGGGUCUGAGAGGAUGGUCCGACACCCUGGGAGUGACACACGGCCGAGACGACGAGGGGAGGAAGCAGUGGGGAAUAUUGGAAAUUGGGGGGAACCCUGAUCCAGCCAUGCCGCGUGUGUGAAGAAGGCCUUAUGGUUGUAAAGCACUUUAAGCGAGGAGGAGGCUCUUUUGGUUAAUACCCAAGAUGAGUGGACGUUACUCGCAGAAUAAGCACCGGCUAACUCUGUGCCAGCCGCCGUAAAAC
rnacentral:rRNA from 1 species